GAAAAGAUGCGGUUAACAAGCUCGUAGUUGACUUCUGGCAGUGGGUAGGUUUGGCUUCGGCCAGCCUAUCUGUUGCCAUCCGUCUGCAAACUAUGUUCGUCCUUCAGUGGAUCGACACAGGGAGUAGACAUUUUACUUUGAAAAAAUUAGAGUGUUUCAAGCAGGUAUUUGCCUGAAUACUUUAGCAUGGAAUAAUGGAAUACGACUCUUGUCUAUUUUAUUGGCUAUUAGACUGGAGUAAUGAUUAAUAGGAACAGUUGAAGACAUUAGUACUUAAUUGUCAGAGGUGAAAUUCACGGAUUUAUUAAAGACUAACUAACGCGAAAGCAUUUA
rnacentral:rRNA from 1 species